UGCAGUCGAACGCGUUGGCCCAAUUGAUUGAUGGUGCUUGCACCUGAUUGAUUUUGGUCGCCAACGAGUGGCGGACGGGUGAGUAACACGUAGGUAACCUGCCCAGAAGCGGGGGACAACAUUUGGAAACAGAUGCUAAUACCGCAUAACAGCGUUGUUCGCAUGAACAACGCUUAAAAGAUGGCUUCUCGCUAUCACUUCUGGAUGGACCUGCGGUGCAUUAGCUUGUUGGUGGGGUAACGGCCUACCAAGGCGAUGAUGCAUAGCCGAGUUGAGAGACUGAUCGGCCACAAUGGGACUGAGACACGGCCCAUACUCCUACGGGAGGCAGCAGUAGGGAAUCUUCCACAAUGGGCGCAAGCCUGAUGGAGCAACACCGCGUGAGUGAAGAAGGGUUUCGGCUCGUAAAGCUCUGUUGUUAAAGAAGAACACGUAUGAGAGUAACUGUUCAUACGUUGACGGUAUUUAACCAGAAAGUCACGGCUAACUACGUGCCAGCAGCCGCGGUAAUACGUAGGUGGCAAGCGUUAUCCGGAUUUAUUGGGCGUAAAGAGAGUGCAGGCGGUUUUCUAAGUCUGAUGUGAAAGCCUUCGGCUUAACCGGAGAAGUGCAUCGGAAACUGGAUAACUUGAGUGCAGAAGAGGGUAGUGGAACUCCAUGUGUAGCGGUGGAAUGCGUAGAUAUAUGGAAGAACACCAGUGGCGAAGGCGGCUACCUGGUCUGCAACUGACGCUGAGACUCGAAAGCAUGGGUAGCGAACAGGAUUAGAUACCCUGGUAGUCCAUGCCGUAAACGAUGAGUGCUAGGUGUUGGAGGGUUUCCGCCCUUCAGUGCCGGAGCUAACGCAUUAAGCACUCCGCCUGGGGAGUACGACCGCAAGGUUGAAACUCAAAGGAAUUGACGGGGGCCCGCACAAGCGGUGGAGCAUGUGGUUUAAUUCGAAGCUACGCGAAGAACCUUACCAGGUCUUGACAUCUUGCGCCAACCCUAGAGAUAGGGCGUUUCCUUCGGGAACGCAAUGACAGGUGGUGCAUGGUCGUCGUCAGCUCGUGUCGUGAGAUGUUGGGUUAAGUCCCGCAACGAGCGCAACCCUUGUUACUAGUUGCCAGCAUUAAGUUGGGCACUCUAGUGAGACUGCCGGUGACAAACCGGAGGAAGGUGGGGACGACGUCAGAUCAUCAUGCCCCUUAUGACCUGGGCUACACACGUGCUACAAUGGACGGUACAACGAGUCGCGAACUCGCGAGGGCAAGCAAAUCUCUUAAAACCGUUCUCAGUUCGGACUGCAGGCUGCAACUCGCCUGCACGAAGUCGGAAUCGCUAGUAAUCGCGGAUCAGCAUGCCGCGGUGAAUACGUUCCCGGGCCUUGUACACACCGCCCGUCACACCAUGAGAGUUUGUAACACCCAAAGUCGGUGGGGUAACCUUUUAGGAGCCAGCCGCCUAAG
rnacentral:rRNA from 1 species